GGCAGACGGGUGAGUAACGCGUGGGAACCUACCUUNNNGUACGGAACAACAGUUGGAAACGACUGCUAAUACCGUAUGUGCCCUAUGGGGGAAAGAUUUAUCGCCUAGGGAUGGGCCCGCGUUGGAUUAGCUAGUUGGUGGGGUAAUGGCCUACCAAGGCGACGAUCCAUAGCUGGUCUGAGAGGAUGAUCAGCCACACUGGGACUGAGACACGGCCCAGACUCCUACGGGAGGCAGCAGUGGGGAAUAUUGGACAAUGGGGGCAACCCUGAUCCAGCCAUGCCGCGUGAGUGAUGAAGGCCCUAGGGUUGUAAAGCUCUUUCAGCGAGGAAGAUAAUGACGUUACUCGCAGAAGAAGCCCCGGCUAACUUCGUGCCAGCAGCCGCGGUAAUACGAAGGGGGCUAGCGUUGUUCGGAAUCACUGGGCGUAAANNNCACGUAGGCGGACUUUUAAGNUAGGGGUGAAAUCCCGGGGCUCAACCNNNGAACUGCCUUUGAUACUGGAAGUCUUGAGACCGAGAGAGGUGAGUGGAACUCCGAG
rnacentral:rRNA from 1 species